rnacentral:rRNA from 1 species
UACAAUGGGCGGUACAAAGGGUCGCGAACCCGCGAGGGGGAGCCAAUCCCAAAAAGCCGCUCUCAGUUCGGAUUGCAGGCUGCAACUCGCCUGCAUGAAGCCGGAAUCGCUAGUAAUCGCGGAUCAGCAUGCCGCGGUGAAUACGUUCCCGGGCCUU